rnacentral:rRNA from 1 species
CCUACGGGCGGCAGCAGUGGGGAAUAUUGGACAAUGGGCGAAAGCCUGAUCCAGCCAUGCCGCGUGUGUGAAGAAGGCCUUCGGGUUGUAAAGCACUUUCAGUGGGGAAGAAAGCCUUGGGGCUAAUACCCUCGAGGAAGGACAUCACCCACAGAAGAAGCACCGGCUAACUCCGUGCCAGCAGCCGCGGUAAUACGGAGGGUGCGAGCGUUAAUCGGAAUUACUGAGCGUAAAGCGCGCGUAGGCGGUCUGAUAAGCCGGUUGUGAAAGCCCCGGGCUCAACCUGGGAACGGCAUCCGGAACUGUCAGGCUAGAGUGCAGGAGAGGAAGGUAGAAUUCCCGGUGUAGCGGUGAAAUGCGUAGAGAUCGGGAGGAAUACCAGUGGCGAAGGCGGCCUUCUGGACUGACACUGACGCUGAGGUGCGAAAGCGUGGGUAGCAAACAGGAUUAGAUACCCUGGUAGUC